GACGAACGCUGGCGGCGUGCCUAAUACAUGCAAGUCGUGCGGACCUUGUUGAAAGCUUGCUUUUAAAAGGUUAGCGGCGGACGGGGGAGGAACACGUGGGCAACCUGCCUUUAAGACUGGGAUAACGCCGGGAAACCGGGGCGAAUACCAGAUCGUUUUUUCCUCCGCAUGGAGGAAAAAGGAAAGGCGGCUUCGGCUGCCACUUACAGAUGGGCCCGCGGCGCAUUAGCUAGUUGGCGGGGUAAUGGCCCACCAAGGCAACGAUGCGUAGCCGACCUGAGAGGGUGGUCGGCCACAUUGGGACUGGGACACGGCCCAAACUCCUACGGGAGGCAGCAGUAGGGGAUCUUCCGCAAUGGACGAAAGUCUGACGGAGCAACGCCGCGUGAGUGGAGGAGGCCUUCGGGUCGUAAAACUCUGUUGCCGGGGAAGAACAAGUGCCGUUCGAACAGGGCGGCGCCUUGACGGUACCCGGCCAGAAAGCCACAGCUAACUACGUG
rnacentral:rRNA from 1 species